CCUACGGGUGGCAGCAGUGAGGAAUAUUGCUCAAUGGGGGAAACCCUGAAGCAGCAACGCCGCGUGGAGGAUGAAGGUUUUAUGAUUGUAAACUCCUUUUGUUAGAGAAGAUAAUGACGGUAUCUAACGAAUAAGCACCGGCUAACUCCGUGCCAGCAGCCGCGGUCAUACGGAGGGUGCAAGCGUUACUCGGAAUCACUGGGCGUAACGAGCGCGUAGCCGGGAUAGCAAGUCAGAUGUGAAAUCCUAUGGCUUAACCAUAGAACUGCAGUUGAAACUGUUAUUCUAGAGUAUGGGAGAGGUAGGUGGAAUUCUUGGUGUAGGGGUAAAAUCCGUAGAGAUCAAGAGGAAUACUCAUUGCGAAGGCGACCUGCUAGAACAUAACUGACGCUGAUGCGCGAAAGCGUGGGGAGCAAACAGGAUUAGAUACCCGAGUAGUC
rnacentral:rRNA from 1 species